rnacentral:rRNA from 1 species
UACGUAGGGUGCAAGCGUUAUCCGGAAUUAUUGGGCGUAAAGGGCUCGUAGGCGGUUUGUCGCGUCUGCCGUGAAAGUCCGGGGCUCAACUCCGGAUCUGCGGUGGGUACGGGCAGACUAGAGUGAUGUAGGGGAGACUGGAAUUCCUGGUGUAGCGGUGAAAUGCGCAGAUAUCAGGAGGAACACCGAUGGCGAAGGCAGGUCUCUGGGCAUUAACUGACGCUGAGGAGCGAAAGCAUGGGGAGCGAACAGG